UCCAUCCGACGUGGCUCACAGUUCACCAGCUAGCACUAAUCCAUUUCUGUCUGCGUCUUUUUGAGUGCCAGAGAAAGAAAGAGGUGUUUAUAGCGGGAAAUGUUGAUCACCAUUUACGGAUUUGGAAUCUCUCAUUCUGGUGGAUUCUCUCUCCCAUUCUGUGACGAUUCAUUUAACUCGGGUUCUAUACCAAAGAAGAGGAGUUCGCUUUCAUGGGCUCCUUCAGAACUGCGUUCUGCUCGAAACAGAGAACUGAUUGAGUCCAAGGCAAAUAAGGCAAGCAAAAAUUACGACAUCAAAUGUAAAGAAAGCAGAGUAGAAAAAAUUUCAGAGUUUGGUCUCAAGCCCAUCUCAAAGCAAUCAAUCACAGAGCUGAAAUAUACCCAUGCUCUGCAGAAAUUGUUGGAGUUGCAGAGACUUGAUGAAGCAAAGGACUUGUGUUUGAAGAUGAAAAGAAAAGGAUUUGAACCUCCGAUUGUUCUACAGUCAAUGCUGAUUGAUCUCUUUAUGAAAUCUGCUUGUAUCUCUGAUGCUUAUGAGGUGUUUGGAGAAAUGCCCGAAAGGAAUGUAGUCACUUGGACCUCCAUGAUUUCUGGCUGUGUUCGGAAUGGCUAUCCGGAAGUUGGCAUUUCUUUGUUUUGGGAGAUGAUUAAAGUGGGUGUUCUUCCCAAUGAUGUCACCUUCAAUGUUAUACUUCAGGCUUGUGCUGACCUUUCUACAUUGAAUUUUGGAAUUCAAAUUCAUUCCUUAAUUGUAAGAGCUGGGUUCUUUAGUGAUUAUAGGAUCGAAAAUUGCUUGAUUUAUUUUUACUCAAAGUGCGGCUUAGUUGAUUUAGCCCACCAAGUUUUCAUCAGAAUGUUGAAGCCUGAUUUGGUAUCUUUCACUUCUAUGAUUGGAGGUUAUUUAAAGAAUGGUUUGCUUGAACCAGCAUUUGGAUUGUUUGAUACGAUGAGGAAGUUGGGGCUGGACCCAAAUGAACACACCAUCAGUAGCAUUUUGGUUGCCUGUCAACCAAUGGUUGGUGAGCAGAUUCAUGCUUACAUGGUUAAAACCUUGUUGGAUCGGAGUCUCUACUCUGCAAGUGCUCUGAUUGAAUUUUAUUCAAAGAACAACUCCUUUGAGAGUGCCAUGCUGGUUUUUGAAAAGUUAGGGACUAUGAGUGUGGUGACCUGGAGCUCAAUGAUCUCCUGCUGUGCCAGAAAUGGGCUUGGAUAUGAUGCUCUGGAGUUGUUCUAUAGAAUGGUCAAUUUAGGGAUCAAACCCAAUAAGUAUACCUUUGUUGCUGUGAUUGGGGCUUGUGGUUUAUCCUCUAUGUUCAUGGGAAUGGGAAAGCAAGUCCAUUGCUUUGUAAUAAAGUUGAAUUUGGGAUUGGACAACCGGAUCUUAAAUGCUUUGGUUACCAUGUAUGCAAGAAACAGCAAGAUAGAAGAGCUUGGGAAAGUGUUUGAGAAAAUCCAGGAUCCUGAUACUGUUUCAUGGUCUGCAGCCAUAAUUGGUUACUCCCAAAAUGCGUUGAGUGGGAAAUCAACAAGCUUGUUUUGCCAAAUGCAUAAAAGUGGAGCUAAGCCUAAUGAAUAUGGAUUUUCUGGCGUUCUUAGUUCAUGUUCUACUCAGGCUUUAUUGGAUCAAGGAAAACAGGUUCAUGGUUUUGCAUUGAAGCUAGGAUGUGAUACUGAUGUUUGCGUAGGAAACUCACUUGUUAAUAUGUAUGCCAAGUGUGGGAAUAUCGAUAAUGCGAGGUUGACAUUUGAUGGCAUGCCCAGACGCGAUCUCAUGUCAUGGAACACGUUGAUUCACGGGUAUGCUCAUCAUGGGCAUGGGAAAAAGGCCUUUCAACUCUUUGAUGAGAUGGUUGAAUCAGGGUCCAUCAAACCUAACAAUGCUACAUUUGUGGGAAUCUUGAAUGCAUGUAGUCAUGCAGGUUAUGUGGAAGAAGGAUUCGAGUACUUUAAGAUCAUGGAGAGUUGCUACGGAAUUGUCCCUUCCAUUUCUCACUAUGCUUGUCUAGUUGACAUGAUGGGCCGAGUGGGAAGGCUCGAUGACGCAGUCCUGAUCAUUGAACACAUGCCAUUCCAACCAGAUUAUUUGAUAUGGAAAACUCUUUUAGGAUCUUGUAGAGUGCACAUGAACUUAAAGCUUGGUAAGUGCGCUGCACAGAGGGCUAUUGAAUUGUCCCCUGAGGAUUCUGCAAAUUAUGUUCUUCUUUCAAACUUACUUGCUGAGUGUGGGGAAAGGUUGGACUCCGAGAGGACAAGGAAGAUGAUGGAAGAGAGAGGAGUGAAGAAAGAUGCUGGUUGGAGUUGGAUUGAGAUAAAGAGUGUGGUGAAUGCAUUUAUUGCUAGGGACAGAAAUCACCCGGAAGCAGAAGCCAUCUACCAUAUAUUGGAUGAACUUUUAGUGAAAAUGAAAGAAGAAGGUUACUCCCCUGACUUCAGCUGGGCACUCUAUGAUUCAUGAGAAGGGAAUAACCGACAAUAAUACUUCCAUAAUGGUCUUGAGUAUUGUGAUCCUUUAAAAUACCAAAUAGGAGGUAAAGCUUUCCUUUUCAAAAUGCAGCCUCAAAAACCUGGAGGAGGAGAGCGCAAAAAGGUAAAUGUACAGAAACAACUGCAAAGUAAUUUCUCUAUCAUUAGAAGGAAGAUUAAUAAUUGCAUGCAAGGAUUACUGAUGGCGGAAAGUGCUCUCUACCUGCAACAUUUGAGUUGAAGGGCUAUCUUUUGGGAUUUGGUAAAGGUAGAACUUGAAACCAGAUGCAAGAACAAUGACCUUGAUAUCAUAGUACUUCCACAGAGAGCAUAUCCAUCAUCUCACCCUCUACUGUCCUCAAUCCACACUUUGAAAAUUAGAUCUAUCUGUGCUCCCACUGAAGUAAUAAAGGUCAAGGAGUUGAAAUACCUGGACUUGUGUUGUGAAAACUACAUCAUCUUCGUCAAAAUGGUUGCCCGCAAAGCAUGGGAGAUCUCUUGGAUACAACCUUACCAAAGUCUACAAUGUACAUAGCCAAGUAAAGUAUAGCAACAUUGUGAUCAUGGACAUGCUUGUGGUUGUUCCUUUGCUUAGAUAUUUCAGAAACUGGUGGUUCUGAGUGAUGUCCGUUUGUGACUACAAUGAUAGGAAACCAAAUCCAUGCGACAAAAGAAACGAUACCUCAGAGCACUUGGCAUUAAGCACUCCACGAGUUGCACAGAUCAGUCGAGUAUCUUCGUGAUUCGGCUUCAGUGACGCAAGGCAAGUCCCUUUCAGUUUUUUCCUUGUUCAGUAUUUGGAUGCUAAUGUGUGCAUUUUUUAUGUUUUCUUUAAGCUUUAAUCCAUUCAAUACCUAACAUCUCCUUUAUUGCAAGGAAUGGAUAGAGAACAUGCACAAUCUUUCUGUCUCUUUUAUCAGAAUUUAGGUUUCUCUAAUACUAGCUGAAGCCAAUCAGCGGCUCUGAUAUGGAAAAAUGGAAUCAUCGACAGUGUUUGGUGCUGUAGAGGAUGAAGACACUCAAGUGUAUCUUCCGUCUCCAGAUAACAGAAGGAUGAGGUUCUUUGGAGCGAGAUAUAUUUGUGGUGUUCCAAGUUUCUCAUGAACCUAAUCUAAACAAAAUUAUUUGGAUGGGUGAUCGCUAUGAAGAACAUAACCUUUCCAGUAUGGAGGUUCAUUCUCUAUUACUUUUAUGGGUCAUAAGGAGUGUAUUCGUCUGAGCAAUGAGAAGAUUCAGUUUGUUCGGAUAUUGCAUCCUGAUGUUGGGGAAAAUGAAGUAGGAAGUUUGUAAUCAAAUUCCAAUCUUGCAGGAAAUCGAACCUAUGCUCUACUUCAAAGUGUUGUGUUGGUGGUUAGAUUUCACCUUUUGUCAAAAGUGUACUGAUGAAAGAAAAUUGAUAUUGAAAGUGCCCGAUUCAAAAG